rnacentral:rRNA from 1 species
UACAGAGGGGGCCAGCGUUAUUCGGAAUUACUGGGCGUAAAGGGCUCGUAGGCGGCCUGUUAAGUCUAACGUGAAAUCCCCGGGCUCAACCCGGGAACUGCGUCCGAUACUGGCAGGCUUGAAUUCGGGAGAGGGAUGUGGAAUUCCAGGUGUAGCGGUGAAAUGCGUAGAUAUCUGGAGGAACACCGGUGGCGAAGGCGGCAUCCUGGACCGAUAUUGACGCUGAUGCGCGAAAGCCAGGGGAGCAAACGGG